rnacentral:rRNA from 1 species
UACAGAGGUCUCAACCGUUGUUCGGAUUCAUUGGGCGUAAAGGGUGCGUAGGCGGUCGCGCAAGUCGGAUGUGAAAUCUUAGGGCUCAACCCUGAAACUGCAUUCGAUACUGCGUGGCUCGAGUACUGGAGAGGAGACUGGAAUUUACGGUGUAGCAGUGAAAUGCGUAGAUAUCGUAAGGAAGACCAGUGGCGAAGGCGGAUCUCUGGACAGUUACUGACACUGAGGCACGAAGGCCAGGGGAGCAAACAGG